GCCAUUGCCUCAAAGGAGUUAGCAAACUGUACUGGGAGUGGAGUUUUUUGAUGAGAAGUUGAACUCCUUGUGCAUGACGUGGCUGGUGGAUCACGUGCUUGCCUUAUCGUAGAAAGGAGUGAAGAAACGGCUCUCCAGACUUGCAACGAGAUCUACUGCCGACAUCUUUAAAAACCUUCUUCCACUCUCUCUUUGUACCGUAUAGGAAAAAGGAAAGUUACGUCACAUCCGGAGUUUCUCCAGUUAGCGGACGAUUUCCCUCCACGCCUCUCUGACAUACUGGGGAACCGCGUACGAGGCAAGUUACAGCAGUGGUUUGCCAUUGCCUUCUGCCGGGUGAGUUUCCAAAGUGAUAACCAGCUCGUAACCCAGCACGGAUGGAAAGUGUGCAGGGGAGCCGGCUGGAUUCAAACUCGGGGU